rnacentral:lncRNA from 1 species
UUUUGGUUAGUCGAUGUAAAGUAACUGAAUCACCUUGCUUUUGCAUCUAACUGAGCAUAUUAACUUGAAUACCCCUCCCAAAGGAAAACUUCUCGUCAUGUACACUGCCAUGCAUGCAUGCCUUUAAGCAUGGUGUGAUCAGCUGAUGCAUGCCUAGCCUAGCCACGUUGGUUCAUAUAGGGCUGCACAUGUGGACAUGGCCUUGCUCUUCUCAUAAAUACCAUUUACUUCAGGCUCCCUUCUCUCGAUUGCCUCCAUACAUUAGAGAAAAUU